rnacentral:rRNA from 1 species
ACAGCAGUAGCCGCGGUAAUACGUAGGGUGCAAGCGUUAAUCGGAAUUACUGGGCGUAAAGCGUGCGCAGGCGGUUUGUUAAGACAGAUGUGAAAUCCCCGGGCUCAACCUGGGAACUGCAUUUGUGACUGGCAAGCUAGAGUGUGGCAGAGGGGGGUGGAAUUCCGCGUGUAGCAGUGAAAUGCGUAGAUAUGCGGAGGAACACCGAUGGCGAAGGCAGCCCCCUGGGCCAACACUGACGCUCAUGCACGAAAGCGUGGGGAGCAAACAGGAUUAGAUACCCCUGUAGUCCCUGUCUCUUAUAC